AUCAGCUGUUUGCUAAAAUUUAAAUAACAAAAUGCCACGCGCAAGUGAAAAAGACAGAAAUUGUAGCAGUUUUGUGCCUAAAUCAUAUGAUUAAUUUACUGGAUAUGGGUUACAUUUUUUACGGCAUUUAUUUACAUAUUUAUUACACACCUUUACUAUUUUCCAGGCGACGAGGAAGAUGAAGCGAUUGAAAAUUUCAAUUCAUACAUGCAUUGUGUGCUAAAUAAUCGCAGAGGUGUUCACCUUGGCAUUCCAAAAUCAUGCGAAUGGGAGCAAACGGUGCUCAGAAAAUUCGAUGAUAACAGGUUCAAUCAAAUGAUUAAAAAGAUGAGAAGGAAUAUUUGAAGUAAGUUUACAAAAAUGACUGGACAUUGCUAGUAGUGAUAUCACACGAUAUCUGUUUAAGUUGCAGCGGCUUGGUGGUUUUACGUUUAAUCAAACCGCUGCCUUUGAAACUGCACAAUGAAAGAGAAACUUUGCAAUAUCAUCUAUGACAUCGAGAUGGAACAGUGAGUAGCGUUGGAAACAGCUGUGCUUGUCACUAAUAAAUAGCUUUCAACUAAUAUAAUAUUUUUUUGUACAAGCAUAUCGUGAGCGUGUGGAUGUUAUUGAAAAUGAAAAAAAUGUUACAGAAAAAAAAUAAAAAAAAAUUCUAAUAUUCACAAAUUUCAAAUUCAUCUUGAAGAUUCGCUGCAAAUAAAAGAUUCGGUCGUUAUUUUAGCUGAGAUGGCAAAGGAUCGCGAUGGCUUUUGGAUGUGUAUAGGAAACAAGAAAAUUAAGAAAAGUAUUACCGUAUCAUUCAUUAUUCAUUAUUUCCAUUAAAUGAAAAAUAUUUAAAAGAAGACGGUUUUUAUUACAAA